GUCUGCAGCCAUACCACCCUGAAUGCACCUGAGCUUAUCUGAUCUCAGAAGCUAAGCAAGGUCUGGCCUGGUUAGCACUUGAACGGGAGACCAUCUAUAAAACAACAUACCUCACAAC
rnacentral:rRNA from 1 species